rnacentral:rRNA from 1 species
CCUACGGGUGGCUGCAGUGGGGAAUAUUGGACAAUGGGGGGAACCCUGAUCCAGCCAUGCCGCGUGUGUGAAGAAGGCCCUCGGGUUGUAAAGCACUUUCAGUGAGGAAGAACGCCUGGUGGUUAAUACCCAUCAGGAAAGACAUCACUCACAGAAGAAGCACCGGCUAACUCCGUGCCAGCAGCCGCGGUAAUACGGAGGGUGCGAGCGUUAAUCGGAAUUACUGGGCGUAAAGCGCGCGUAGGUGGCUUGAUAAGCCGGUUGUGAAAGCCCCGGGCUCAACCUGGGAACGGCAUCCGGAACUGUCAAGCUAGAGUGCAGGAGAGGAAGGUAGAAUUCCCGGUGUAGCGGUGAAAUGCGUAGAGAUCGGGAGGAAUACCAGUGGCGAAGGAGGCCUUCUGGACUGACACUGACACUGAGGUGCGAAAGCGUGGGUAGCACACAGGAUUAGAUACCCUAGUAGUC